GACAUGCUAUAUUUACUACCCGGUACGCGGAUCUAAAACUGGAACUAAUAAUGAGAUUCAUGACGUAUUUUAUUCAAGCAUCUAUGUCAUCAGUUGAGACAGAUGAUGAUGACAGGGAAGAUGAGGAUAGAAAAGAUGGUAACUGUUUUAGGAGUUAAAGAGAAAGAAAAUCUGUAAGAAAAUUGUGUCUUCUAUUUAACUCGUCCAGACCAUACUCUAUAGAGAAAGAGAGAGAGAGAAAGAGAGAGAGGCUAAAGUCACAGCUGAUUUCACGAACCAACAAUAACUGGAAUCCAUGUUACAUUGUGAAUGUCACAGAUCGCCUAGAGACAGUGAGUUGAAUUAGCGUAACAUCUCCGAGAACUAAAGCGAAUAGUCGAUCAGCUUCUGAAUCUGUAGCAAAAAACCACGUAGCACCAUACGAUUAAAGCUCAAAAUAAUUUAUCCUAAAACUAUUUGUUUAAGAAGGUCAGAGCAGCGGUACUUGGGCCUCCCUACGGGGCGGCGUCCCUCCGGUACACCCGCGUACACCCGUCUUACAGCCCGAUCCUUCUCCAUACGCACUGCAUGCCCGAGCCAUCCGAGCCUCCGUGCCUUCAUCUCCCCCAGAAUAUUUUGCUCGUCAAAAAGCCUCUCCACAUCCUUGUUUUUCCGGACGUGCCAAGAACACGUUCUCAUCUGAUAAAGAUAACAUUUAAAUUCAAAUCCUUCGAUUUUGUUCGCUGCCAUCUAUUAAAACUACACGAUUUAUCGUUGCAGUUCCUAAGAUCGUAUCGUUGAAUUUAAACAAACAUUUAACAGUGGGACGCUAACUGAUCACCGAGAAAUCCGCGGACCGCUCACAAAGUUAACUUAUGCAAAUGUCUUUUUGCAUUCCACUCAAUGUCUAAAUGGACGGCUCAAACUUUCAAACCGCAAUGCUAAACAGCAGGAUUAUUUAAAUAUGGCGAUGAACGUAUUUAAAAUUCAAUGGAAAACUGUCUUGAAGCGCCAGUGGUCUAAUGACAGAAACCCUUGAUAUGUUUGAGUAAUUUCACACAAGUAUAUAGCUGCGAGGACAUUAGUGGUGGUAGGACCUCUUGUGAGUCCGCACUGGCCUGUCUAUUUCUGCCGUGAAACAGUAAUGCGUUUGAAGGGUGGGGCAGCCGUUGUAACCACAUUGAGACCUUAGAACUUAUGUCUCAAGGUGGGUGGCGCAUUUACGUUAUAGAUAUCUAUGGGCUCCAGUAACCACUUAACACCAGGUGGGCUGUGAGCUCGUAUAAGAAAUAAAUAAAAAAGUUUAUAAGUCAAUGAAAUGCAAUUCUCAAAACACCUAUGCCGAACACUUAAAACCAGAGUGCAUGCAUAAAGCUCAAUUAAAAUAACUGGGUAAAAAGUCUCGAAACUGCAAAACUGCACAAAUUGUAUUGUGUACCAAACUAGACGUGAACUUUUGAAAAUUAUUUGCAAAUACAGUUCGACAGUAACUUAGGAACAUCAAGGCAAACACUAGUUAAACAAAAGCGGUAUGGAAAUUAUUGUAUUUUGUUCAUCUCAGAAAUGUGGUAGUAAACUCUUUGUGCGUUUAAGUGUCGAAUGAGGUAGGUGGUUUAGUUAUCUUGACUAGUGUGCGUGGGGCUUUGAAAGGUCUAUUUUGCGAUUCCAAUGGCUUUUUAAUAACGGUGUUGGCUUAGUGGGGAGCGUCCGCGUUUUUGUGUAUCUGUAACCUUGUUAUCAGUUCUCAUAUAAAUUUUGUUAUACGCAUAUUAAACUCAAAGACGUAGUUUAAAAAAAAAUUUCAUUAUUGUUUAUUUAUUUAUUGCUUAGAUGGGUGGACGAGCUGGUGUUAAGUGGUUAUCGGAGCCCAUAGACAUCUACAACGUAAAUGCUGCCACCCACCUUGAGACACGAGUUCUAAGGUCUCAGUAUAGUUAUAAAUGACGUUUCAGCAUCCGCACAUAGCACAUCUGCUAAUCAAAUGCCACUAACUAAAUAUAUUAUAUUAUAUUUAGGAUCUAAGAUUACAUCAGAGUGCUCUUGUAUACCUAUACUAUAAUUGGUUGGCUUUUACGUAAAACAGUAAUAAGAUUUGUAGCCGUUUAUUGGAAUUGGGUGCAGUUAAAUACUAAAACCAUGAUAAAGUAUACAUGAAUAAACGGGAAUCGUUGCUUCCAAGCAAGGAGACUAUAUACCCGUUUGAUUACAAACUCAAAGAAAAAUAAAUAAGGACGAAGAACCAGAAAGAAAACCAUUAUAAUAACAUUCGUGAAAAGAACGGUAUAAUGGUAUUUUUAAGGCGUACCGUCAAUAGUGAUCUGAUUUGUUUUUCGAUUAUUAAGAUUGUUUGUACAAGCAAAAUCUGUGUUAAAGAUUAAACACCAUCAAUACAAAAACAUUAAUUAUAAGAAUGCAAUCGCCCAUUGCUGUACUCAACACAGAAUCAGUAGCGUCGCAUGAGUGCCCAUAAAACGUGCAUUUACAACGUAAAUAUAGAAUUGUGAACGCAGCCUUUUUUUUUUUACAACACUGAUGUUAGAUGCAAUGGAAAGGAUAAGUAAGAUUUCAAUGAACAGAGCAUUUUUUUUGUUUGUUUGUUUCUUAACAGGCGUGUCACGCAGAAGUUGCAAAUUUUUUAUAGGGUGAAGUAAGCAGAUGAUCGUAUACACAGACUUACCACCUGUCCAACUUUGUCCAACUUGGAAUUAAUAUAGUAAUUAGGCAAUAAGAAUAGAACAAUUAGAGUUUAUGUGAAUUACAGUUGGAUGAGAGGAAAAUCUAGUAGUGGCACAAAUAAGAUCGGAUUGCAUACCUAAUAAAGAAGAUGCUAACUAUUGUUACAUAGGUAAGAGUAAUGCCAUCUAUUGACAAAUAGCCGAACGAAUAUCGAAGGAUCUAGUAGCAUUUAGAACACUCGAGAAAUACAACGCCAUCUAUUGUCAGAUGGCGGAAACACACAAUACUCGACUUAGGCGGAAUAUUCUCGAUAAUUUUAGGGAUGUGGUAUCGGCUAUAAAAGCGUUGCAGAGAUGGCACGUAGUCAGUUAGUAAUCGGAACUACUCGAAGCGAAACAGCCAACAGAUCACCUGAAGCGAAGCGGAAGAAGCGCAUUGAGAAUUUUAAAGGUUUUGUAAAGGCUUUAAAUGUUCUAAGUACUAAUACAGUAUUAAUUUAUA